GCCGGUGUAGCUCAGUUGGUCAGAGCACCGGUUCGCCUGCUUCGAUCUCUGGACACCCAAAGCUUCACGUACCUCCCGGUGCGUUUCGAUCUCGGGGGGCGCGGCAGAUGGUGCGUGCCCGUGCGCAGGCAGCGGAUACCUCGGGGACUGACGAGGAGAGUUCCUCGUGCGGGUUCGAAUCCCGUCAUCGACG
rnacentral:tRNA from 1 species